rnacentral:rRNA from 1 species
GAAAGAUUCAUCGGAAGAGGAUGGGCAUGCGGCGCAUUAGCUAGACGGCGGGGUAACGGCCCACCGUGGCGACGAUGCGUAGGGGUUCUGGGAGGAAGGUCCCCCACACUGGUACUGAGACACGGACCAGACUCCUACGGGAGGCAGCAGUGAGGAAUAUUGGUCAAUGGGAGAGAUCCUGAACCAGCCAAGCCGCGUGAGGGAAGACGGCCCUAUGGGUUGUAAACCUCUUUUGUCGGAGAACAAAACCCGGGACGUGUCCCGGACUGCGUGUAUCCGAAGAAAAAGCAUCGGCUAACUCCGUGCCAGCAGCCGCGGUAAUACGGAGGAUGCGAGCGUUAUCCGGAUUUAUUGGGUUUAAAGGGUGCGUAGGCGGUCCGUUAAGUCAGCGGUAAAAUUGCGGGGCUCAACCCCGUCGAGCCGUUGAAACUGGCAGACUUGAGUUGGCGAGAAGUACGCGGAAUGCGCGGUGUAGCGGUGAAAUGCAUAGAUAUCGCGCAGAACUCCGAUUGCGAAGGCAGCGUACCGGCGCCAGACUGACGCUGAGGCACGAAAGCGUGGGGAUCGAACAGGAUUAGAUACCCUGGUAGUCCACGCAGUAAACGAUGAAUGCUGGUUGUCCGGGUCGAAUGAGAUCUGG